UUCCUUUGUACUACAGUGUUUUAUUUUUGAUUACUUAUAAUAAGCAUAUACAAUUUUUCUUUCUUUUAUACACAUGCUUUUUUUAUUCGUAUAGAGAACUUCACAGACAAUACUGUAAUUUUUAGAGGAGUUCUACAUUAUUACAUCAACGGUGUGCAUUUCUAACAGAGGCAAAACUGAGCACCAUAGUUUACAAGCAGAAAGACCACACUUGAAGUCAACAGAUGUUCACUAAGGAUGCAUGAUGGAUUUGAGAAGUUCUUAAACCUUGUCCUCGCCCUUCUCCUCCUCCUGGAACUCCCCUUGUUCGUCGGUCGUGGCAUCCUGAUGGUACUCAGAAACCAGGUCCUUCAUGUUUCUCUCGGCCUCGGUGAACUCCAUCUCAUCCAUGCCCUUGCCGGUGAACCAGGGCAGGAAGGCCUUGUGCCGGAGCACGGCCGUGAACUGCUCCGAGGUGCACUUGAAUAGCUCCUGGAUGGCCGUGCUGUUGCACAUGAAGGUGGCUGACAUCUUCAGGCCAUGGGGUGGGAUGUCACACAUGGCUGUCUUCAUGUUGUUGGGAAUACACUCCACGAAGUAGCUGCUGUUCUUGUUCUGCAUGUUGAGCAUCUGCUCGUCCACAUCCUUCAUGGACAUGCAUCCCCAGAAGAUGGCAGCCACCGUCAGGUAGCGGCCAUGGCCCGGGUUGCAGGUGACCAUCCUGUUCUUGGAGUUGAACAUCUGCUGGCUGCAAGUCACUGUCUCCAUGAUAACUGCCUGUGGGGUCGAUCCCAUGCUCAUCGCUGAUGGCCUCCCAAAACUUGGCACCGACCUGGUUGUGCCCGACUGGAUGUGCACGAUCUCUCACACGGUGCUGGCUGCGGAGCGGGUGGCACUGGCCCUUGGAGUGGUGUGCUGCCUGGACCGGCAGGCUCAGCUGUGCAGAGACCUCCAUAUACGAUUUUUCUAGAGGUAAUAAUGUUAUUUAUCCUUAGCUAAGAAAAUAAAAAUAAAACCAAAGGGAAAUGUAUACCA
rnacentral:lncRNA from 13 species